AUGGCCCGUGAUGUGUUGGCUGUUCCGGUAUCAGUGGUUUCGUCUGAGUCGGCAUUUAGCACAAGUGGUCGCACUCUAAAUGAAUUUAGAACCUCUCUUACACCAUUCAUGGUCCAAGCUCUUGUUUGUGCCCAAGAUUGGCUAAGGGGUUCUAUUAAUGUCAACAUUGAAGAAGAUGAGGAGGAAUUGUUAAGAUUGGAAAAGGAACUAAUUGAAGAGUUUGGUAGUACAAAUUCAUCCAAGUCAAAAGCAAGCAGUAGCAAGUAUGUUUGCAAGCCAUCUGGGGUUGUGCCAUCUUGCCCACCUCCAUCCUCUACUUAA
rnacentral:rRNA from 1 species